UCCAGACUCCUACGGGAGGCAGCAGUGGGGAAUAUUGGGCAAUGGGCGCAAGCCUGACCCAGCAACGCCGCGUGAAGGAAGAAGGCUUUCGGGUUGUAAACUUCUUUUCUGGGGGACGAAGAAAGUGACGGUACCCCAGGAAUAAGCCACGGCUAACUCCGUGCCAGCAGCCGCGGUAAUACGGAGGAUGCGAGCGUUAUCCGGAUUUAUUGGGUUUAAAGGGUGCGCAGGCGGAGGCACAAGUCAGCGGUAAAACCGGGGGGCCCAACCCCGCUCCGCCGUUGAAACUGUGUCCCUUGAGUGCGCGAAGGGUAGGCGGAAUGCGUGGUGUAGCGGUGAAAUGCAUAGAUAUCACGCAGAACUCCGAUCGCGAAGGCAGCCUACCGGCGCGCAACUGACGCUCAUGCACGAAAGCGUGGGUAUCGAACAGGAUUAGAUACCCGGGUAC
rnacentral:rRNA from 1 species